rnacentral:lncRNA from 10 species
AUCAUGUUCCUCGUACACUGCACCAGCACCACUGCUUCCCUUCCCAGUGAGAACCCGAUCAAGCUUUAUCAUGCAGCCCAGAAGGGUGGGGGAAAGAAAAAGAAUUAGGAGAAAAUGUUGUAAAAGUAAUGAGAUAAUAUGAGAAUGUGCUUUGGGAACUGCGAAUCUGGAGUCACUGGUCCAUGAGGAAUCUAGGAUAAGAAGAAGGAAGCUGUGAAGAAUGGUUGGCUAACAGUGCUGGCAAGGAAUUCAGAUCAACAUACCUCUCAAAAGAAUGGAAGUCUCUUAAACUCAGACAGAAUAAAGGAGGCACAGAGAAGUUAUACAAAUUGUCCUGGCACAAAAAACUGAUAAGACUUAAGCCCAGGAGUACUGGCCCAAGAAGAUAUUAGGUUGGUACAAAAGUAAUUCUGGGUUUUGCAUUGUUGGAAUUUGCCGUUUGAUAUUGGAAUCCAUUCUUAAAUAAA